GGGGGCGACCUGGUUUCGACGGAGACUGCGAAGCAGCGCGGGGCAUGCCAAGGUGCAGAACCUUGUGAAUCCUCUGCAAUCGCAAACUUAACUGCGAACGACGAAACAUACGCUCUGGCGGCUUAAUCCCGCCGGACCUCGCACCGGGCGGCGCUCAGCUCGGGUGAUGAAACUGGCAACAGCGUAGUCACAGCGGGG
rnacentral:tmRNA from 1 species